GGUGUGCUACUGCCAUCUAGCAUGUAGGGUCCAGGGAUGCGGCUAAGCAUUCUAUGAUGACUCUUGCAGCGACAGUCUCCCACAGCCAAAUGUCAGCAUUGCCAAGGCAGGAAAACCUGGGGAGAUGUUUAGAACCGUGUAGAAGUUGACUGCUAAAGCAGGGCAAAUGUCAGGGGUCAAAAGCCAGAAGCCAAGGAAGUCAAAUGUCAGAGGCGUAGGAGAGUGGUAAACACCAGGUCAUUGGAUAAGCAAAGAAACAACGUCAAGAGUGCUGAGGUUGAGGAACUUGCUCUGGACAAUGAGCAACGUAAUCACACCACAAUGCCAGAAGAGAAUAAAAUGUCGUCCAAAUACAAGGUGCAGCAUCUAAUCUAGAAUCAGGGGUGCAAAGGUGCCCUCGGAAGUGACAUCUAAUUAAAAACCUGAAAACCAGAUGAGUUCGAAAGGGAUGUGAAGACGAAGGCAGGGUAAAGGGGCCAUUCCAGACAGAAGGCACAGCCGGCGGGCAAGCGGGACUACGGAACGGAGGAACACAUCUGUACGGCGGAAAGUGGGAGGGGCUCCGGGGCUGGAGAGGCGGCCGGCCCGAUCAUAACGGGCUUGUGUGAUGGCUUAAGAAACACAGACGUUAUCUUUAAGGCAGUAAGAAGCCACCGAAAGAAUUUACACAGAGGAGUGACACGAACAAGCUUGUUUUAGGACAAACGACUGCUAAGAAACUGAGUAGGAGGGAGCUCCUGACAUCCAGACGACAGUCAUGGCCUAACGCUGCCCCUUGGAACGGAGGGGAGGCAUUCAAGAGACACUCAGGGAACAGCUGAUGGCAUGGAAGGAAGUCCAAAGACGUCAAGAGCAGAGGACAGCUCUUGAGUAGAUCCCUAAGGCCAAGCACUGCUGGACACAGUCCGAAAACAGAGAGGAUUCUGUCCCCGACGCCCGCAGGUUAUGAAGAGAAAAAGGUAUUCCAGAUAAAAGAACCAAAAUCAACAAAUGACACGAGCGGACGGAAUAUGGAAGAUGCGCGAAAACAGCUAUAAACUGGUCUCACUACACAGCAGGGUGUGCUGGAGAGUGACAGAAAACAAAGCAUCCAGCAGCCGACCUAGCAGCUGGUUCACAAAUCCACGGCCCCGCAGAAGCAUACGGCCCCUGUCUAGGAGACCAAAGCCAGGCGGACAGCAGCCCGACUCACAGUAAGCUCCAACACGGCCAGCGCCACAGUCCACUGCUACGGCCCAAACUCCGCCAAGGAGAGGGGUGCCUGGAGGAGAAGCUGUGGUAGCCAAUGUCUGGAACGAGCGCUCAGGGUUCCCUGUCCCUACCUGGCAUCAGACACCUGGAAAAGACGACGAAGGAAGGUGCGCCUUCACAGUUCCCAAUAACCCUUACCGCGUCCUCUCCCUGGAGCACCCUGUGCCAUACUGCCCCUGACCCUUCUGCACCCUCCUGGCCGGUGACCGCCACCCCACAUGCACCUUAUUCACUGGUUCACUCUAUCUUUUCAUGUGCCCAUGAGGGUCUCAGGUCAGCGGGGUGAGGAAGGUCAUCUGCUCGUCUCUGUGUUUAUCCCUGGUUUCCAGCACAGUAAUUGGCACGGGGCAGUCCUUCAGUAUUUGUUACUGAACUUUUUGUUGGCGAGUUGUCAGAGACCGAAAUGAAGUCUAUUUUCUAGUACGUUCACCUCCAAGCCCCGCCCCCAAC